GGCUCCGUGGUCUAGUGGUAUGAUUCAUGCUUCGGGUUUUCCCCCUUCGCCUGCUCCAACAGGUGAUAUGAAUGUGUGAGGUCUCGGGUUCGAAUCCCGACGGAGCCC